UACGUAGGGUGCGAGCGUUGUUCGGAAUUACUGGGCGUAAAGGGCUCGUAGGUGGCCAACUAAGUCGGACGUGAAAUCCCUCAGCUUAACUGGGGAACUGCGUCCGAUACUGGAUGGCUUGAGUUUGGGAGAGGGAUGCGGAAUUCCAGGUGUAGCGGUGAAAUGCGUAGAUAUGCGGAGGAACACCGAUGGCGAAGGCAAUCCCCUGGGCCUGCACUGACGCUCAUGCACGAAAGCGUGGGGAGCAAACAGG
rnacentral:rRNA from 1 species